rfam:Picea glauca, whole genome shotgun sequence.
ACAUCACUUGGACAUGGUCGGUUAGUCUAUCCUAAGAGAUGGGGAAUCCUUGUAUCAAGGGUGCACUCUGCAUGAACAUCGAAAGAGAAUUGGGUUAAUAUUCCCGAACCGAGACACGGUGGUGGACGACAAUGUUAGGAAAUAUAGAUAUGUCAUCAAGGGCCUGGGAAGAGUUAUAUUUAUUUUUUAAUGACUUUCCCACCCUGAAAUCGGUUCAACCGGAGAUAGGGUCCAACAUAUAGAAGAGAAGCACAUGCCUUGCGGUGUUUGGUGCCUCCUCGAUGGCCAUUGAAAAUGUGGAGAACCGAGUACCAUCCAUGCCCGAUCGUACUCAUAUCUACCUCCUUGGAUUUUUCAAUGUCCACUAGGUUAGCGAUCUUC